rnacentral:piRNA from 1 species
UCUUGGCUACUGUUUCUCCAUCAACUAU